UGAACAGGAUGAGCACACAAUGCACCCGCUAUUCAAGUGGUAAUAGUCCAGAGAACAUGGUUGCUAGGCAACUGAGAAACACAGAUGGGAAUCAUGUGCUAGCUUAAGAUAGGGGCUAGUGAUUUAGCUUGAUAGCACAAAGAGCUAAAGGGAAUUCGUCAGGUUCUAAGCUGUAUGUUUACAAAAAUAAUCGUUCUGCAAUGUAAAAAUAAGGACUGCCUUAAAAGAACCAUCCCAGUUAGACAAAAACCAACAUAAUGGGAAUGACAUUUCCAGCAGGACAGUAGGAGCGUUUAUAAAAGAUAUUUAACAAUGUUUUGAGAAAUCCUGACGGUUUUACUAAACUAAAAUAGCCAGGAAGUCCUUUUAUGGACAUUGUAAAAGCAGUAUAAGGAUAGAAACAAGACAGAAUUGUCCGAAAUAUCAACAUUUACCUCAGAUGUGUUGAUAAAUUACUAAAAAAUAAACUAAAAAAACCUUUUAACAGCUAAAAUUAGACUGAAACUACACAUAGCAUCAACUGCUAACUUCCAUUUUGAGAAACGUAAAACAUCUCUGAACUCGUGUAUUCAGAGCUGUCAGAAAUUGAUAUUUAAAAUCUGCAUUCUUAAUAAAAACCCAAAAUUUCAUCUUUGGAUGGUGUUAGAAUUAAAAUGUUCAUUUGGGUGUAAAUACCGUCUCAAGAGAAAGAGCUCGCAGGAAUGGAGGUCGAAAACACAGCAAUAAGCUCCAGAUUAUAUGAUGGUCAGAAAACGAAUGGACAAAAAUGCCGAUUUAGCUGUCUGACCCCUCGGAUUCCUCCACCCCGCCCCCCACCGGGGUCACAAACUCUGCUGUUGCUUUAAAGAUGGGAGCUUGUCCAAGGAAAACACAUAUCUCCAGGGACCAUCAUGCAAACGGGGAGCUGCAUGAAUAAUAGGAAGCUGUGUCCUGUGUGGUUUACUCAGGCCGUGGGUUUAACCGUUAAAUAGAUAAAUAAAUAAGAAUGAUAAACGGCCGCGGUAGCUCAGCGGUUAAGGUUGUGAGUCCAGAUGUUGGAGUAUUGGAGCUAGGAUCUGCGGUUUAAUUAGUUAUGGUUAAGUUAUUUAGUGGGUUCGUGAGUUAUAAACACAGAUCCAAGCCAAUCCAUUGCCCCUCAGGUUAAAUAACACAAAUCUCAGGAGUCUACUUUAGAUAUAAACAUGUUUGUUAGCGUUUACGCCACAGUGCUGUACAGGUACUAACUCCACAACAUUAAAUGUAACUAUAAACGGAUAAAAAGUUUAAAAAAAAAAAAAAGUUUUUGUAUAACAGCACGUCCCAGCGUGUUUCAUCCCUCACUACAUCUUAUUUCUCGACAUUUAUAUCAUCACCAGCCUUCCGUUCACAUUUCCUCUCUAACAAAAUGACUUCUGUUAGAUUCAUGAUGGAAUGACUUAUCUGUAAAAAUGUGCCUAAAUUAUUUUGUGAGCCAUGUGUACUGUAAAUAAAUAUUGAUCUUUAUUCAUAAA